rnacentral:rRNA from 1 species
GGCAAAUCCGUUUCCCAUAAGGCUGAGCUGUGAUGGCGAGCGAAAUAUAGUAGCGAAGUUCCUGAUUCCACACUGCCAAGAAAAGCCUCUAGCGAGGUGAGAGGUGCCCGUACCGCAAACCGACACAGGUAGGCGAGGAGAGAAUCCUAAGGUGAUCGAGAGAACUCUCGUUAAGGAACUCGGCAAAAUGACCCCGUAACUUCGGGAGAAGGGGUGCUCUGUUAGGGUGCAAGCCCGAGAGAGCCGCAGUGAAUAGGCCCAGGCGACUGUUUAGCAAAAACACAGGUCUCUGCGAAGCCGUAAGGCGAAGUAUAGGGGCUGACGCCUGCCCGGUGCUGGAAGGUUAAGAGGAGCGCUUAGCGUAAGCGAAGGUGCGAAUUGAAGCCCCAGUAAACGGCGGCCGUAACUAUAACGGUCCUAAGGUAGCGAAAUUCCUUGUCGGGUAAGUUCCGACCUGCACGAAUGGCGUAAUGAUGGCCAGGCUGUCUCCACCCGAGACUCAGUGAAAUUGAACUCGCUGUGAAGAUGCAGUGUACCCGCGGCAAGACGGAAAGACCCCGUGAACCUUUACUAUAGCUUGACACUGAACAUUGAGCCUUGAUGUGUAGGAUAGGUGGGAGGCUUAGAAGUGUGGACGCCAGUCUGCAUGGAGCCGACCUUGAAAUACCACCCUUUAAUGUUUGAUGUUCUAACGUUGACCCGUAAUCCGGGUUGCGGACAGUGUCUGGUGGGUAGUUUGACUGGGGCGGUCUCCUCCUAAAGAGUAACGGAGGAGCACGAAGGUUGGCUAAUCCUGGUCGGACAUCAGGAGGUUAGUGCAAUGGCAUAAGCCAGCUUGACUGCGAGCGUGACGGCGCGAGCAGGUGCGAAAGCAGGUCAUAGUGAUCCGGUGGUUCUGAAUGGAAGGGCCAUCGCUCAACGGAUAAAAGGUACUCCGGGGAUAACAGGCUGAUACCGCCCAAGAGUUCAUAUCGACGGCGGUGUUUGGCACCUCGAUGUCGGCUCAUCACAUCCUGGGGCUGAAGUAGGUCCCAAGGGUAUGGCUGUUCGCCAUUUAAAGUGGUACGCGAGCUGGGUUUAGAACGUCGUGAGACAGUUCGGUCCCUAUCCUCUGCGCGCGCAGGAGACUUGAGAAGGCCUGUCCCUAGUACGAGAGGACCGGGACGGACGAACCUCUGGUGUGCCAGUUGUCCCGCCAGGGGCAUGGCUGGUUGGCUACGUUCGGAAGGGAUAACCGCUGAAAGCAUCUAAGCGGGAAGCCUGUUCCAAGAUGAGGUUUCUCACCCCCUCGAGGGGGUAAGGCCCCCGGCAGACCACCGGGUUGAUAGGCCGGAACUGGAAGCACAGCAAUGUGUGGAGGUGACCGGUACUAAUAGGCCGAGGACUUACCACG